rnacentral:lncRNA from 1 species
CAGAGAUAGAUGCCUUCUGCUGAUCCCUCUGAUGCCGUCCAGUAAGUCCCUGAAGGAGGAGGAUGAGGCUGCUGAAUACCAGCCUGGCCUCCUUCCUUCCACGUGCCAGGCACCGGAGUCAGACAGCCGUGUAUCAUGCCGUCACACCCCAGCCCGCCUUCCCAUCCAUCUCCCUCUGAUUCGCAGCUACCCACUAGAUUCCCCCACCAUCUUUCAUUUCCAUACACUUCUAGAUUCUCCCAAGUCAGAACCUUUAUAUCUUCUACUGCUACCGUCCAAACCUCACUGUAAACUCCCAAGCUUUUCACGUGGCUGCACCAGUCAGAGCUCUGCUCCAAUGCCACU